AUGGCGGCCACCUUAGCAGCUGCUCGGGGAGAGGGGCCAGCACCAGUCUGGGGGCCCAAGGCCAUUGCCUCUGACUGGGAAAACCAGGAAGUCUCCACAGGGAUCCCUAUCAUGGCUGUGCAAUUUGAUGGGGACAUGAUUCUAGAAGCCAACUCCAGAACAACCACGGAGUCAUACACCACCAACCAAGUGACUGACAAGCUGACCCUUAUUCAUGGUGGUAUUUUCUGUUGCCACUCAGGCUCAGCAGCUGAUCCUCAGGCAGAAGCCGAUGCAGUCACUUAUCAGCUUGGUUUGCACAGUGUUGAGCUGACUGAGCCUCCACUGGACACACGGCAGCCAGCCUCCUUAAGGAGAUGUGUUACCAAUACCGAGAAGAUCUGAUGGCAGGAAUCAUCACUGAGGGCUGGGACUCCCAAGAAGGGGGACAGGUGUCCUCGGUACCCAUGGAGGGUAUGAUGGUAAGCAUCGGGGACUCCGGGAGCUCUUAUAUCUAUGGCUAUGUUGAGGCUACCUACCGGGAAGGCAUGACAAAGAAUGUCUGCAAUCCACUGCCAGUACUCUGUCUUUGGCCAUGAAACAGGAUGGUUCCAGCAGCAGAGUGAUCCGCCUGGCAGCUAUUGCAGAAUCAGGGGUAGAAUGGCAGGUUCUUCUGGGAGACGAGAUUGUCCAAUUCACUAUUGCCACUUUAUAA
rnacentral:lncRNA from 1 species